AGGGAGGUAGUGACAAUAAAUAACAAUGCGGGGCUCUUUCGAGUCUUGCAAUUGGAAUGAGUACAAUUUAAAUCUCUUAACGAGGAUCAAUUGGAGGGCAAGUCUGGUGCCAGCAGCCGCGGUAAUUCCAGCUCCAAUAGCGUAUAUUAAAGUUGUUGCAGUUAAAAAGCUCGUAGUUGGAUUUCGGUUGAGAACGGCCGGUCCGCCGUUUGGUGUGCACUGGCUGGUCUCAACUUCCUGUAGAGGACGCGCUCUGGGUUAACGCUCGGACGCGGAGUCUACGUGGUUACUUUGAAAAAAUUAGAGUGUUCAAAGCGGGCUUACGCUUGAAUAUUUCAGCAUGGAAUAACACUAUAGGACUCCUGUCCUAUUUCGUUGGUCUCGGGACGGGAGUAAUGAUUAAGAGGAACAGUUGGGGGCAUUCGUAUUUCAUUGUCAGAGGUGAAAUUCUUGGAUUUAUGAAAGACGAACUUCUGCGAAAGCAUUUGCCAAGGAUGUUUUCAUUAAUCAAGAACGAAAGUUGGGGGCUCGAAGAUGAUUAGAUACCAUCCUAGUCUCAACCAUAAACGAUGCCGACUAGGGAUUGCAGGAUGUUAAUUGAUGACUCCUGCAGCACCUUAUGAGAAAUCAAAGUUUUUGGGUUCCGGGGGGAGUAUGGUCGCAAGGCUGAAACUUAAAGGAAUUGACGGAAGGGCACCACCAGGCGUGGAGGCUGCGGCUUAAUUUGACUCAACACGGG
rnacentral:rRNA from 1 species